rnacentral:rRNA from 1 species
CGAACGCUGGCGGCAGGCCUAACACAUGCAAGUCGAGCGCUCACUUCGGUGGGAGCGGCGGACGGGUUAGUAACGCGUGGGAACGUGCCCAGAUCUAAGGAAUAGCCACUGGAAACGGUGAGUAAUACCUUAUACGCCCUUCGGGGGAAAGAUUUAUCGGAUUUGGAUCGGCCCGCGUUAGAUUAGAUAGUUGGUGGGGUAACGGCCUACCAAGUCUACGAUCUAUAGCUGGUUUUAGAGGAUGAUCAGCAACACUGGGACUGAGACACGGCCCAGACUCCUACGGGAGGCAGCAGUGGGGAAUCUUGGACAAUGGGGGCAACCCUGAUCCAGCCAUGCCGCGUGAGUGAUGAAGGCCUUAGGGUCGUAAAGCUCUUUCGCCAGGGAUGAUAAUGACAGUACCUGGUAAAGAAACCCCGGCUAACUCCGUGCCAGCAGCCGCGGUAAUACGGAGGGGGUUAGCGUUGUUCGGAAUUACUGGGCGUAAAGCGCGCGUAGGCGGAUUGGAAAGUUGGGGGUGAAAUCCCGGGGCUCAACCCCGGAACUGCCUCCAAAACUAUCAGUCUAGAGUUCGAGAGAGGUGAGUGGAAUUCCGAGUGUAGAGGUGAAAU